rnacentral:rRNA from 1 species
CCUACGGGGGGCAGCAGUGGGGAAUAUUGCACAAUGGAGGAAACCCUGAUGCAGCGACGCCGCGUGAAGGAAGAAUGAAUUCGUUAUGGAAAGCUCUAUCAGCAGGGAAGAAAAUGACGGUACCUGAGUAUGAAGCCCCGGCUAACUAGGUUCCAGAAGCCGCGGUAAUACGUAGGGAGCAGGCGUUAUCCGGAUUUACCGGGUGUAAAGGGAGCGUAGAGGGAAUGGCAAGUCUGGAGUGAAAGGUGGGGGCUCAACCCUAGGACUGCUAUGGAUACUGUACGGCUGGAGGACAGGUGAGGUAAGUGGAAUUCGUAGUGUAGCGGUGAAAUGCUUAGAUAUUAGGAGGAACACCAGUGGCGAAGGCGGCUUACUGGACUGUAACUGACGUUGAGGCUCGAAAGUGUGGGGAGCAAACAGGAUUAGAUACCCGUGUAGUC